CUGCAGUAACACUCCACUGCUGCCAAGCUCCAUUCGCUGCUAAUUAACAGCUGCUAUAUUUCUUCCAAGGCUUUUGGUGGUAGUAGUUUUACACAUUAUUGAGUUUUUCCGCAUAAGUAAGAGUGUAUUCGAUUCGAAGGGUCCUUCAGCAAGUAAGCGAGAAAACAAACUGUAAUUGUUUUCACAUUAAGGAAAUAUUUACUUCUAGGAUAUUCUCGACGUGUUUUUUUCUAUUCAGGACGUUUUCAGACAAUGGGAAUAGAUAUUCAGUCUGGCUGGUAAGGAAGCGUUUAGUACAACGAAACGCUCAUGGUUUAUAUUGUUUAAAUUUAACAAAAUUUUAAGAAACACUGGAAACUGCUUCAUUGACUCGACUUGAAUUUUAACUUGGACAAGUUAAAAGUUUUUACUCCGAUCGGUGGAUCCGUCCUGUCGGUGGAAGGCGAAAGAAGAUGUGUUGCCAGUCGACAAAUCCGUGACAGAAAAUUUAAGAUUGCAACCAUUUGAAGGCAAUUCCUGGGACCUGGAUUAAUCUGACACCGCAGGAUCCCCAAAGCGCAUCUCACAAUUUCUGUGUUGUUGAAUAAUUGAUUGUCGUGAAAAAUGAGCUCAGCGGAAGACACUGCCGGUGCCGCGCCAGUCAAAGAGGAGGGGGAUGGUAUGUCCUGGUGGUACCGCUGGCUGUGCAAGAUUGCCGGAGUGUUGGGAGGAAUCUCAUGUGCAAUUGCUGGCAUCUGGAACUGUGUCACCAUUUACCCCUUGAAUAUUGCAGCAGGAGUGUGGAUGGUGCUAAAUGCAUUCAUUCUCUUCCUAUGUGAAGUUCCAUUUUGCUGUCAGUUUAUAGAGUUUGCAAAUGCAGUGGCGGCAAGAGCUGACAAACUCCGUCCUUGGCAAAAGGCUUUCUUUUACUGUGGGAUGGCACUGUUUCCCAUCCUGCUUAGCCUAUCCAUCACCACACUUCUGGGAAAUGCCAUAGCCUUUGCAACAGGUGUGCUGUAUGGACUUGCAUCACUGGGAAAGAAGGGUGAUGCAGUGGGGUAUGCACGUCUCCAGCAUCAGAAACAGGGUGAUGAGGAAAAACUUACAGGAACUACUGACGAAGUACUACAGUGACAUCACUUCUAGCUCCAAGACAUUCUUAACUUACUACUGCUGCUCUUGAUGGGAAAACGUCUUGUUUGGGAUUCUAAAUUUGAUACUGGCCUUUUAAAUAAAUGAUUGUACUAAAUAUCUGCUAAACUGUCAGUUGAUUCAGGCAACGCCUUACUUUUUCUUUUAUGUUUACCAAUAAUUUAAGAUGCAGGGAUUUAUCAUCAGGUUUAAGACUGAUUCAGAUUAUGUCAGGUGUUUUAUUUAUAUUUAUGUAAAAGUAUAUGUCAUAAACCCUUCAUCAAACUCUUUAUCCUGAUCCAUGGCAGGUGUAAUGGAGAGGUUGCCCUAUUUCAUCUGGAAUUGUACUGUAUCAGUGGGCAUUCACUUUAAGAUGUUUGGUAUUAGCUGGAACCUCCUCUGAAGCUUCUCUGUUGUUUUCAAUUGAAUCAGGACUGCUCAAUCCCAGAUCUGUUAUACUUCUUCCCUUUACUUCUGUGAGUUUGAAACUGCUCUCCCAUGUGUCUCAUAAAGUAUUCAUAGUUUGAUGCAAGGUCGAGAUGUUCUUGAGUUCCUCCGUGGGAACCAUGGAUUGGGUAUUUUUAUUUAUCAAUGUGUCUUGUGGUUGAUUGUUUUUUGUAGUUGUAUAUAAAUUAAAAUUAGAUUACCAAAAAUUAAAAAUGUAUUUCAUAAGUCACCACUGGGAAAUUAAAAUUUUACAGUGACUAUAGAAAAAAAUUAAUUUGAUAAAAACAAACUACAUUCAUAACACACAUAAAAACUGCUGGUUUGGAUAACAAACAGCUACUGUUAAUACAUGCUUGUAGGUGUCAGUAAGAUGAGGUCAGAUCUGCUCAGAUUGUGCCACAGGAAUAUUUUUAAGAAUAUUAAUAUGUGGAUACAGCAGUGUCCAUAAAAGGAAUUGGCCUAAUAGGCAUUGACUCUUUCUUUGAAGUCACCAGCAUUAAGAACAAUUCACCAAAAAGACUUUGGUACUGAGUGAAUCAUUUCUGUAGCUGAGUCAGUCAGGAUGAUCUAACUUACUUUCCCUAGCAGGGCUAAUUCAGUCUGCAGUUCAUGCCUGGAUCACACAUUUAGUCUUAAUUAUACUGUGCUCCCUUUUUCAUCACUGCACAUUCACAAAAAUCUCCAGUCCUCUUCCUGCUUUUUCUACUCACUCUGAUCAAACCCAUCCAGCAUUAAAAUAGUGUCUGAAAUAAGAUGUAUAAGCUGGUUGUCUACAGUACCCAAAUAUUACAUACAGUACCUGAGCUUGCCAUACCUUGCUGUGAGAUGUAACAGUUCAAAUGAAGUCAUCCAAGAUCCGAGUCCUUUCCAAAGUUACCAGAAUGUUACAAGUAGGAAAAACAACCAAUGAGGCAGACAGCAGCAUAUACAGUAAAUGAUUCUGUUUAUGAAGCACAUAAUAUCACUUAGUGGUCUUAUUUCUGAAAUAAGGUUGCUCUGAGGUUAAUUUUUCUAGUUUGUUUUGUUAGAAAAUGUAAUAGAUGUCUUUAAGCACUCAAUCAUGAAAUAGUGUAGUACUUCACUACACAAUAAAGGCUUCAAUGAUGAAUUUGAAAGAUAAAGUCCUCUCUGUCUGAACCAUAAAAAAGAACUAGAAUGAGCAAAGUAUUGUGCAGUAUAUUUUAUAACAUGAUAUUUUUUGGCAUAUUGUCCUAAUAAUACUAAUUAAAUUCUUGUUUAUCCAUUUUUAGAUCUCAUAAAAUCAUCUAAAACUAAAUAACAGACAGCUGUUAAAACAUUAUUGGCUGCUUCGAGGCCAAGAUGCUAUGCAGUAUACUUUUACCGACCCUACAGAGGUAACACAUCAUGUUAACUACAAGUUACAACUUUCUUAUAUAUGUUGCAUACAGUUAAAUGCUUUGCUGCAUUACUUCACUACACAUCCGGAUGUACUGAUCAUGAGUUAAGGCAGCAUUUCUUGUGUGCAAACCUCAUUUAAAAACAAUUAAGCAGUUUAAGUGCAAUUACAAUUCAAAGUUUUGAAUAAGGUAUGAAAACUGAUCAUUUAUAAAGUGGAAGCUUUGUACUUACUACUAUAGAAAUGUGACGUUAGCGUAGCCUGUAUGUGAUAUGUGUGUUUUAUUCAUAUGAGAUGUUUUAUUUGUUUUCUUGUUUUCUUCCUGCAGACCUAGUGUUUGUGUUUAAUGUGUUCCUGUAGUAGACCCCGAGCAUUAUAUUUAUUGUUUAUGUACAUUACGUGUGCAUGUCUUUUUAUGAAAUUAUUUAAAUGUUACACUCAUUCCGUUUCCUUCUUAGCAUUAAAAUAUGUGUGAUAAACUGAAAAAGAAUGGAUUUCUGGAAAAUUAUGACAGCAACAGUCUGUAUUACAGUAUCCAUUGCAUAAGCUACUAAAAAUAAAAAUAUUUUUUAUUUUAAUGAAAACUCCGGAUACAUGACCCAUUUACAUUGCUUUUAAAUAACGCUAGGCUUUUUUUAUCUAACAUGGACUUAAACAGAGAUAACUGCAUAGUAAGGGCACACAUGUCAGAAUGCUUGCCAUUCAGUAGUUUAAUAAAUCUGGCUGUUAUUAGUGGACAAACUGUUGUAAAUAAGUGUUUUAUUUAUUAAUUUUCUCUGCACUAUUUAAAAAUGUUUAACAAAGCCUGAAGUAUAGAAGACAGGAUACUGUUGUAAUUAAGGUGAGCUGAGCUCACCAAGUGUUUUUUAAUAACACUCCCCAUGUGAGAAGGAUGUGAAUUUCUUUACUCCACACAAAAGUAGUUUGUAAUUUUUUUUCUUUAUGUUAUGAACUUCCUUGUGCUUGAUGCUUCCUGGAACAAGCUCCAGCGUUUCCAUGACACUGUUUUGGAUAUGGAUGGGGAAAGACUGAUGGAUGGAAGGAUGUUAUGAGUUGUCCAUAAUUUGGAGUAUUCUGUUCAGUUGAUGUGCAUGUAUAAUAUAGUAUGUCUGUAUAAAAAAAUAUAUAUAUAUGGUGUGAAAUUGGCACACACUACUCAAGCAAUGGAAGACAUACUCCUUUACAUAGAAAAUAUGUAACAGGUUUGAGAAAGCACUGCUGUCUAGACACAACAAUAUACAAGGCUUAAUUUAUGUGUUUGGCAAGCUCCACUGCAGCAGUGAUCUGAUCCUUGUAAAGCCUGGUGCUUGGAAGGUAUCAUUAUCCUUGGAUGUUCAUAGAGUCGGUUUCAUCCAUAAGAAGCAGAUUGUUUGACAGAGUUAACAAAUCUCUGUCCAUUUCUGGUAUGCAAAAAUAAGCAUAGGUAACUGGGUAGGGGCUGAUCUACUAUGAAGCUUAAUCUUCAGGGCCCCAGAAGCAACUUUAGUCUACAUUGCUUAAAGUUUUGCAUAGCUACUGUAUGACGAAUGGGUUUUUAAAAAUAAAAUUUUGAAAUAUGGUAUAAUUCAAUGCAAAACGUUUCUGAGAAUAAAACUUAAAAGGGCAUUAAAGCAUCAUGCAGGCUAGCCAAAAACGUUCAAAUUAAGGAUUGUUCAUUCUAAAUAUAUUUAAUAUAAAGUUAUUGUAAGCUAUUUAAAACACUUAACAUUUAUAAAAAUGAUACUAUUUUUAUUAAAAUUAUUUAUCUUAGGCUAACUGUAUUUGAAAAAAUGAACACACAUUUCAUUGCUUACAGUCAUAGUAGAGGACAAUAUUUCAGUAACUUUUUAUUUACACGGAUAAUCUUAUAACAGGGGGUGGCGCUGUGGCACAGUUAGAAGACCUGGGUUUGCUUCUCGGGUCCUCCCUGCGUGGAGUUUGCAUGUUCUCCCCGUGUCUGCGUGGG